rfam:Pluralibacter gergoviae strain JS81F13 contig_3, whole genome shotgun sequence.
UUCGGUACGACAUUGCUCACAUUGCUUCCAGUAUUAUUUGCCCGCACUCGUGCGGGCUUUUUUUU